rnacentral:lncRNA from 10 species
GGUAUGUUUACUUGUUAAAAGGAAGAGCCACGUUCUUUUUUCCCUUUCCUUGACCGUGCCGGCUAGAAAGUGAAUGUGAUGGCUGGGGCUUCUUUCUUGGAUCAUUAAGUGAGAAUGGAUCAUGCAUAGAGGAACCAAAAGGUGGAAGGGACCCAAUUUCCUAAGUACUUUAUGUAACAGAUCCACUAUCUAGUCUUGGACACCCUACGUCUGGAUUUUAACAUGAGAGAAAAAUCUUACACCCUUUUGAUGGCUCUGCUAUUGAGAGUUUUUAAAGUACUUAGGCGCUUAUAUAUGUUAUACAGAAAAUAUUGAUAGAAAACCAAGAAAACUUAUAUGGUAAUACGGCAAAGAAGCCAUCAC